UUCAAAUGCAAGUUGCAUCCCCAAAUGCGAGGCUGGCCUGACCAAAAAGAGCCAGUCGGCGCCCGGAAGAGGCGAGACUCGCGCUUGGGUUCUCAAUCCUUCUCUUUUCUCCUUUCUUUUUCCCUUUCUCCUCUCCGGUUCCUGAUUUAGCUGGGAGCUGUUUAUUUAUGGCUGCAAAUGUGUGUGUUCAAGAGAGAGAGGGAAUUGAUCUUUGCCUGGACUUAAAGAUGGAGCCGAAGAAGCUGGAGGGAAUUUGGGCUUGUGCGUCUGGCCCAGACCCUGUGCGCCGAGCCCGAGGUCUAUCCUCCCCGCACCUCUCACCUCGCGACCUUGCAGGAAUCCGCGGGCCCGGAUGCUGCCCAGCUGACCCUCCUGCCCCGGGCCUGGCUGCAGAGAAAGUCUUCGGGCAGGAGGCCAUCCUGUUCCUGUCUUUAAAAUGAGCACAAUAAAAGGGGGCAAAUCCUCGAACGCGAACCUGAUCUCAUGUCACAGAAGCAACUUGCCAUGAAAUCCGCUAAUGCGCUGCGACUCGCCCACCAGGAUAAAUAACCCCAUCGUCCGUGUAAUCAGCACGUUCCCAAUGAAGUCGUUUUCCUAGAAUGCGCUCUCCGCCUGCCACACUUGAGGAAUCCAGCCCACAGAGGUUUCGGAAACCCAGUUUGAGUGAUUCCAGCCUAGACUGAAACCCUGAGAGCCUCCCAGGAAAGAGAGCCCGGCCUGGGCCAAGCAGUCGGACACACACACACACACACACACACACACACACACACACACACACACACACACGGACUGCGUAGCUCUUCGCAGGAUCGAAGGCUGGAUGCGGAUCUGGGAGGCGGUGGCUAAGCGAACCAGGAAGACUGUGACGGAAACCAAUACAGCAGUGUCAUCUUGAAAGUUAUUUGGAAGAACAGGACCUGGAGUCUGGGUUUGAAUCAAAAAAUUGUGAGCAAGGGACAGAUCACCCUGUAUUUCUCUGGAACGAGGCAGAACUGAGACCUGCUCAGCUGAACCAGCGUGGCCACAUAUUGGGGACUAGGAAAUUGUUCUCAGACACUGUAGCACACACAUCCUCUGACAGCGAGCUCACUCCUGCGCAGUGGGCUUCUGGUUCUGCCACUGCACUCCACAAACGCCCUACAGGCCUCCUCCAGGUUUUGCCAGGCAAAUGAAACGAGCACAACUCGAUAGUAAAUUAUUUUGUUCAGCCUUCUCUCUUUUUAUGAAAAUAAGAGGCAACACUUUGUCA
rnacentral:lncRNA from 1 species